UUGUGGCAGAGCAUCCUCUUUUGAAAGCAGAAAUCUCUUCCCAUUAGCACCACUUCUAGACACCCGCUUCACCCACCGGAGUCCAAUCCAUUCCCCUCACCUUCCGGAGGGGGCCUCGCACCGGACUGCCGCGGCCAGUGAACAUCAUUUGAGUGGAGAAUCAAGACCAUUUAUACUCUGCAUUAUUUUUGAAAGUGUAUUCUCAGGACUUGAAGAAGAAUGCUUAUCUCAUGGGUUAACAUGGAAGUGGAAUAGUGGUUGCUAGGCAUCAAACAGGACGACAGGAUAGCCCUGGAAUUCAGGAGUAACAGCUGGUGGAAUCAUUUCAGGUAAUCCAGCGUCAGUUCAGCAUAUCAUAGAGAACCUGUCUUCAGUAGAGGUCUGAUGAUCCACAGGAAUCUUGUUAGCUUCAUGUUCUUCUCUUAAUGAUAAUGGCUAUUUUUAACACCUACUAUAAACCAGGAAUUGUGCUAGGAGCUUUGCAUAAAUUAACUCUAAUCCUCUUAUGAAACUAGGGAGGGGUGUAUUAUAAUUCUAUUUUUUUUUUCAGCCGAGGCCAUACCAUAUACCUAGUAAUACCCAAGGUAGUGCUCCUUCACUCAUGACAGUGCCCUGACACCCUUGCUUUAGAAACACACCAAAUCCCCUUAAAGGUGCUAGGUUUUAGUGGAUGUACAAAAAGCAAGGAAGAAUUGCCCCUAUGUCUGUGGUGAUGUAGCAAAAAAAAAAAAAAAAAAAAGAAAGAAAGAAAGAAAAUCUCUGGUGUUAAAACCAGAUUUCUAUGUUCUCCUCAUUUCUCAUUUUUAUUUCUACUUCUUCACUGAUGAAGUAGGGAUAAUAAUAAGAACUAUUUUCCUUUCUGUUUCCCUCAAGAAUUUUUUUUUCAGAACUAGAUGAAGUAUAACAUAGGAAGGAACAGUAAAAAUGUAAAGCACUGAUUUAAUACUAAAUCCACACCCACAAACUCAAUUAGCUCCAGUAUAGAAAUACAUUGUAGUACCUGUAAAUAAUUCAAAUAGGAUACCUCUGUUAUCUAGACAAACACAAAAUUGUGACAAAAUCCAGAAGUCUGUGAUCAGAAAUUCUACAAACAGAAAAUGUAGAACAGAGGUUGACACUGGUUUUCCAUGAAGUUCACUCACUUAAAACACAAUGGAUUAGAAAAAUUUGAACAUUAAGAGAUAAAAAGAUGUUCAGAGUUAUUAUUUUCUUAAAAAAUAUUCUUUCAGAAGUUAUAAUGAAUUUUCUAGACUUGAAAUAAUACCAGUCAAUGUCCAACUCUAUCACAGUGUAAGGAAUAGUGUAUAUAGAACAACAAGACACAAAGACCAGAACCUUCAGAAAAGAGAAAUUCUGUGUUGGGAAUUUAGGUUUAAAAAUGAUGAAAACUAAAGGGAGAGGCCAUAGCUAUGUCUAUAGGAUUUAAAAACUUUAUUUAUUAUGGUACAUUUUCAAAGGUUGGGAUGCUUAAUUUCCUCAGCUAACAAGAAUAAAGCCACACAAAACAGAAGCUUUUGAGAAAAUUUAUCCUUGAACUUUCAAAACUGCUUAGAGAAUCUCAAAUACAUCUUUUUAGCAUCUUACUAUUUUCACCUUCUCUUCAAAAAAUGCAUAUUGCUUAGUCAUUGACAGUUUCAUUUCUUGUUUCUUAGGACUUUCCACCCAGUUUAUUGAAAGAGCCAAGCAUUAGAAGUGGAAAAUGCUUCAACUAGAAGGCUCUGAAAAGGAUCAAGUGGUGUUUAAGCUGUGGGAAAUGACUUUCACCUGGUCAUCUAUUUGCUUUGCUGCCUUUUCUAUACUUCUACCACCAGGUGGCAGUGAGACAACACAUAAGGUUACCAUAUAAUUUCUCACAUUUUAGUAUGAAAUGGGAAAAAAAAAAUCUGAAGACCUUACUGAAGUAAUCAUCAAGGUCCAGGUUGUUGAUAUGAGGAUGAUCAGAUAAUAUAGGAAGUGUCAGUUGAUACUCUAUAUAUGAUGACAUACAGAAAUGCAUGCAUGAACACAUGCAAAAGCAUAGCAGGAUAAUUCCUAUUUAGGUACUAAAAACAUUUUUAAUGAACAUAUUUGUAAUGAUCACAUGUACAGGGUGCAAAUUAAUAAACCAUUUCCAAAGUUCAAAUAAUACGAAAGUAGCUAGAUAUUUUAUGUAUACACACACACACACACACACACACACACACACACAAUCUAUAGUUAUGUAUCUACAUGAAUUCCAAGAGAAAAAGGAGAAAGUAUAAUAUAGCAAAGAUUUCAAUUCCAUAAUCUUUCAGCCUUGGUACACUUGUAUGAGAACCUACUUCUUAUGGUAUAUGAUUCCUCUUUCCAUUCACCUAACUUCUUUUUCUCUCAUCUCAGCUCAAUCACUACUUCUCUUUUUAAAAAGAAGAUAUUCCUACCUUCUCAGAUUAGAUCAAAUCUCCCAUUAUAGGCUCUUCUUAUACCGCCAUGAGUCUUCAAAACAGUUAUUAUUUGAAUAUGCUCUUGAAGAAUAUCUAUCUCUGCCACUGUACUUUAGAUUACAUGGGUCAGAAAUAUUUCUAUUUUGAUUAGCAUUUAUUUCCCAGUGCAUCUAAUCUAGCCUGGUUCUAUACAUGCAUUCACAUACAUUUGAUGAAUGAAUGUUUCAGAUACUGAUAUACAAAUGACAACGUUAAUUUUACAACAAAUGUUUAAUUCAUACUAACUUGCUUUAAUAGUUCAAGGUGAAAAAUUACAUUUCAAUCUCCACUUCAAAUAUGUAUUUAUUUAUUUAUUUUGCAAAAAUAAACAUUAUUUGGAAAGAAAAAUCAAAUCUGACUUUUGAGGUGAACUAGUCUCUAUAAUUUAUACAAGAAAGCAUUUGGCUUCCUUUAUAAAGCUGGCUCUGCAUGCAGAUAAAUUCACACCAUGCAUAGCAGCACUUUAAUUUCCAUAUGGUUAUAACUUUUGGAUUCUUAACAUGGAGUCUAAGGCUGGCCUUCAAUGCUUUGUAGGUCGCUCUGAAAUUAUGUGAGGAUUCUGUUUGUAUGUAUAAGUAUUGUGUAUUUUUUUCAGUGAAAGAGUUUAAAAAUUUCCUUAAAUAUUUAACUAUACCAUAGAAGGAUGUAGUAGAAUUAUAGAGGAGAAAAUGCCUUGUUUAAUUAACCAAUCAUAAAACAUUACUCAUUGUUACUGUGGUUAUGAUACUUGUGCAGCUCAUUUUGUUGCUAUGAAUAUUUUACAAUAUUAAUAUUUUAAAGAGUACUUAUUCAAUAAAAGGUCAAAGAAAACACAUGCAAAAAUCAUCAAACAUGAAGAUGAUAGAAAGAAAGGUACAAAAACCCAUUACCUUAAAUUUAGAACCAAAUGAAAAAAUCCAUAUUUAUUCAGACCUAAUUAAUUUUGAACAUUUAAUAAUUUGAUUAAAAACAUAGAUUAUAUUCGAUUUUAUAUGCAUUGUUUAAAAACAUAUUGUAUUCAAUUUUAUAUGCAUUAACAAGCAUGAUUUAUAUUACUAAAGUCUUCUAUUUUUCUAUUUAUCUUCUCCUUAGUUUUUCUAUAUAUUAAUAAUUUAAAGGAGGACAUUGAGAUUUCUACCAAUUAUUAUCAAAUUGUCAAUUACUCCAUUCAACCUUUCAAUUUUUGCUUUAUGUUUCUUGGGGCUUAAUUGCAAGGUACAUAUAUGUUUAUGAUUGUUAUAUAUUCUAAAUAAAUUAACACUUUAUUUUAUCUCCUAUAACUUUGUUUUAUCUUUAUGUCUUUUAUGUAAGUACAGCCUCUCAAACUAUCUUAUGAUUGCCCUUUGCAUGAUGUAACUUCAUAUUUUCUUUCUUUCCAUGUAUCUGUGUCUUUAAAUCCAAAAAUGUGUCUUUAAUUGAUAGUGCACAGUGGAAUGCUUUUUUAAAAAUCUAGUUUCUCCAAUUUAUGAGGUGAAUAGAGAAUCUACAUCUUUGGAGCAAAUUUUUACCCCUCACAUAUCAGAUAGAGCACUAAUAU